rnacentral:lncRNA from 1 species
AAACAGUUUAUGAAAGUGUUAGUUACCUAUAACUAGAUUUAACCAAAUUUCAUGUAUGCAGAAUAGAUAGAGGUAAAUAGAUUAAAUAUGUCUCUUCAUUUAUUAUCUACCUAUGUCCUAUGUGAAGAAUGAAACUGUGUAGGUAUUACGUUAUUAUUUCAACAGAAGAUUCAAGAAUGCUUUAGUUUAUUAGCAUUUAACGAUAUUUUUACCAUCCAUAAAAGCGUUUCCUAGAGAGAAAGGAUUUAUAGUAAACCGAUGAUAAAGCUGGCUGCAAACUUUCAAAUAGAAAAGUUUCUCUCUCGCCAGUCAUAACAAACCAGACUAGGUACCUAUCUGAAAACUUUACGAUCUUUCUCAUAACCCAAUAAAAGUAGGUGUUUGAAAACUUUUUGGUAAAAAUAUGGGUAGUAGGUAAAGAGUCUGUAGUUACAACGCAAGCUAAGUUGUUACUUGAUGCUGAGCUAAAACUCUACUAAAAUAGUAGAAAUUCCGCUUUAACUGGGUAUAUUUAUUACCGCAAAUUUGAACGUUUCAUUCAAGAGUAGAGUACCAAAUUUAAAUUUUUUGGCACAGACCAAAACUGAAGAAUUGAUGCUACCAAUUGGUUGGUUUUGUUAAUUUGGACUGGUUUGCAGAGGAAAACGUAUUGAAAGUGUUCAUAUUUUAUAAACGCAAACCAGAUACACAUAUGUACUUACUUACCUAAGUACUUUCUAUUAAUUAUAAAGCAAAGUGAAGCCUACCAAUUGCAUAGAUUGGUUGAGUUCAAACGCAUUUACAUAAUUUGCCGUGAUGACUAAGUACGAGAAAUAUAAUGACCGUAAGUGAAAGUAACUCUAUUGUGAUUGGUUUCGCAACAACAAAGGUUACAACCGAUAGGAAGUGGAUUAAUUGAGAACUGCUUUCACAAUGCAGGCAAUGUUGCCAGAGUUGGCCUUCUAAACUUCUAUAUCUAUAUAUCAGCUGCUAUCAUUUUCCAAAGUUUGCGCUUAAAUAAAUUUAGAAAAUGAAGGUGCAUGUAUGAAAGUAAACUGGAACGCAUUACCUAUGCAUAUACUCACUAUGCAUUGCGUAUAUACCUACCUACAUAGUGCAAUUACGAUAGGAAGUGAAGGGCACCGUUACACAUCAACAAUAGAAGUAGGUAUUACAUUCAUAACAUAUCCAAGUGAGUACCAUUUCCUAUUGAAAUAUUCCAUUAUUGCUUGGCGUGGAUCGUAAAAAAGCAAAAACUCAGACCGUUUACAUUCGAGUCACGGACCUAGUCGCUUCCUAGCCACAAACCUGAAUGUUUAGGUGCAAAAAAAUGCUCACUUCACCUGCUCUAGUGGGGAAUCGCAGCUGUAUUGGAAAAGUCUCACCUGCUCGGUCUGGUCAGAACACACUGUCCACUAGUAAAUAGGCAGGAUUGAUGAAGAAAUCCCCUAUCGCAUUCAAUUGAUUGAUUAGGUACAUGCCGGCGCUAAGUACUACUCGUAUAAGAUUAAAAACACUUAAUGUUUGGAACAAAGUACCAGGAAUCAAUUAUAUGGCAAGAAAACAUCAGUGCGAGCAGUAUACCUACUAAAUUAAAUGCCCCCGAUGUGUAUAAAUUGAGCACGACGGUACAUGCUGGUGAAUAUUUUAUGGACCGAUUUACCAUAGAGCCUUGAAAGUGUCGAGUGGAGGCAGAAAAUAAUCGACCAACGUAACGUGUAAUUUUACUUAUUCUGGAAAUUAAAAUGUAUUUAUAAA